rnacentral:lncRNA from 1 species
UGUGUGUGUCUGUGUGUGUCUGUGUGUUCCCACUGUGUGUGUGUUCCCACUGUGAGUGUGUGUGUGUUCCCACUGUGAGUGUGUGUGUGUUCCCACUGUGUGUGUGUGUGUUCCCACUGUGUGUGUGUGUUCCCACUGUGUGUGUGUCUGUGUGUGUCUGUGUGUUCCCACUGUGUGUGUGUGUUCCCACUGUGUGUGUCUGUGUGUUCCCGCUGUGUGUGUGUGUUCCCACUGUGUGUGUUCCUGCUGUGUGUGUGUCUGUUUUCCUGCUGUGUGUGUGUCUGUGUGUGUCUGUGUGUUCCCACUGUGUGUGUGUGUUCCCACUGUGUGUGUCUGUGUGUUCCCGCUGUGUCUGUUCCUGCUGUGUGUGUGUCUGUUUUCCUGCUGACCCGGGGUGCGUGUGUGUGUGUGUGUGUGUGUGCACACCAUGUGCCCACUGACGUGAAGAAGCCUGGAGGAAGGAGUGCAGGGACAGCUGCUGCUUCCAGCGCCCUGCACCCGAGCUCCCAGGGCCCGGAGGGUGGGACCCUGCCUUACUGUUUAGAGACCCGCAGCCGCAGCCGUUGGCAUUCCCAGGCAGCGUGCUCCUGGCCGCCUGCAGGCGCGGGCAGCAGUGCUUUCCAACGCAGGCGCUGCCGACGGGCGGUGGAUGAGCGUGUGGCAUCUCGUGGGGCAGAGGUGAGGGCGGCCUGCGGAGCCUGCAGACCGAGGUGGGAGCCUCUGGCCCCGGCGGGACGGACAGCCACCACUCCCGGUGUCUCAUGCCGGGUCCCAAGGACUGUCACUUGGGUCCCUCCCAAGAACCUGUGCUCAGCCCGUUUCCCACAACACGGGUUUUAA